ACGAGUUGUAGAUUGCAGGUUGGAGUCUUUGUGGAAGCGUGUGUCUAAGUCCCUUGGAACAGGGUGCCAUUGAGGGUGAGAGCCCCGUGAGACGCGUGCGGAAGCUGUAAGGCCCUUCUGACGAGUCGAGUUGUUUGGGAAUGCAGCUCUAAGUGGGUGGUAAAUUCCAUCUAAGGCUAAAUAUUGGCGAGAGACCGAUAGCGAACAAGUACUGUGAAGGAAAGAUGAAAAGCACUUUGAAAAGAGAGUGAAACAGCACGUGAAAUUGUUGAAAGGGAAGGGUAUUGGGCUCGACAUGGGAUUUGCGCACCGCUGCUCCUUGUGGGCGGCGCUCUGUGCUUUUCCUGGGCCAGCAUCGGUUUUUGCCGCAGGAGAAGGCGUGCUGGAAUGUGGCUCUUCGGAGUGUUAUAGCCAGUGCGAGAUGCUGCGUGCGGGGACCGAGGACUGCGACAUCUGUCUCGGAUGCUGGCACAACG
rnacentral:rRNA from 1 species